AUAGUGCCGUUCGUUCGUUUGUGUUUCGUUUGUGCUGGUUUGUGCUGCAAAAAUUGUACCGAUUGUGCCGGCUGCUACGGUUUUGCAGAUAUUACACAUUUAAUUCAUAGCGAAGACGUCACCCAGCCCCACGUCACUGUAUUUUGUCGCGAAUUUCAAGCUCCUGGAAUGCUCCUGAUGCAGGACGAAUACAAGGUCAUUAUAGAUCUCCCAGGCAUAUGCAGUCCUCCUGCAGUAUGCCACAUAAUGCCCGAGAGAAUCCUGGGUCAGUCCUGGUUCAAAGCCAAUGACUGCUCUCAAAGUAAAGGUCUUCUCUUUUAGCUCCAGACUGGAGGGAAAUUCAAGCAAGGCAACUUCCUUGCAACUGCUACCAAGAGUUUUGAAUGAAGACGGACACUGGGAAGGAUUUUCAAUUGGCCUGAGGCAGAGAGAGUCAGGAAGGCUGAGUCCCUCUUCA